rnacentral:rRNA from 1 species
GAAUUGACGGGGGCCCGCACAAGCAGUGGAGUAUGUGGUUUAAUUCGAAGCAACGCGAAGAACCUUACCAGGGCUUGACAUCCCUCUGACAGCUCUAGAGAUAGGGCUUCUCUUCGGAGCAGAGGAGACAGGUGGUGCAUGGUUGUCGUCAGCUCGUGUCGUGAGAUGUUGGGUUAAGUCCCGCAACGAGCGCAACCCCUGUUGUUAGUUGAUACCAUUAAGUUGAUCACUCUAGCGAGACUGUCGGUGAUAAAUCGGAGGAAGGUGGGGACGACGUCAAAUCAUCAUGCCCCUUAUGUCUUGGGCUACACACGUACUACAAUGGCUAUUACAGAGGGAAGCUAAGCCGCAAGGUGGAGCAAAUCCCCAAAAAUAGUCCCAGUUCAGAUUGUGGGCUGCAACCCGCCCACAUGAAGUCGGAAUUGCUAGUAAUGGCAGGUCAGCAUACUGCCGUGAAUACGUUCCCGGGCCUUGUACACACCG